AGCGUAGACAUGGCCGGCUCGGGUCAAAGUGUAGUAAGCGUUCUUAUCUGCUUAAUAUGUGAUAGGGGUUUUAUUUGUACGUAACAUAUUGAAAUUAUUUUUGCAAGUUGGCGGAGUGCUUAAAGCCUAAUUCACCUCCGCGACGGGUCGGCCCGAUAUUUCUCAAUUUUCGGGAUCGGCCCACGUAUG